rnacentral:rRNA from 3 species
UUGGAGGGCAAGUCUGGUGCCAGCAGCCGCGGUAAUUCCAGCUCCAAUAGCGUAUAUUAAAGUUGUUGCAGUUAAAAAGCUCGUAGUUGAAUUUCGGGGUUAGUAGGUUGGUCAUGCCUCUGGUAUGUACUGGUCUCACUGAUUCCUCCUUCCUUAUGAACCGUAAUGCCAUUAAUUUGGUGUUGCGGGGAAUUUGGACUGUUACUUUGAAAAAAUUAGAGUGUUUAAAGCAAGCUAACGCUUGAAUACAUUAGCAUGGAAUAAUGAAAUAGGACGUUCGAUCUUAUUUUGUUGGUUUCUAGGAUUGACGUAAUGAUUAAUAGGGAUAGUUGGGGGCAUUAGUAUUCAAUUGUCAGAGGUGAAAUUCUUGGAUUUAUUGAAGACUAACUACUGCGAAAGCAUUUGCCAAGGAUGUUUUCAUUAAUCAAGAACGAAAGUUAGGGGAUCGAAGACGAUCAGAUACCGUCGUAGUCUUAACCAUAAACUAUGCCGACUAGGGAUCGGAUGAUGUUAAUUUUUUAAUGACUCAUUCGGCGCCUUACGGGAAAC